CGAAGCGUAUGGGGGGACCUCCCGGCGGAGUACGCGCAUCUGAUCCGUGGCUCGGAUCAUUUGCUUUUCGUCUGAUCCAGGAACAGGAGCGGCGUACAGGACGUCGUGAUAUAGCUGAGCCAUUUGGACCGCAGUUCCGCCCACAACACUCCCUCCCCCAUUGGACUGCAGUUCGGCGGCCAUGGUUCCUGUUCUUGAUGCGGCUGCUUAAAUCGCCUAUGGAGGACGGCGGUUUAGAGUUCCUGCUAGAUGUCGUCGACUGGUUUCUCCUUCGAGAUAAGUUAGCAGAUGGUUUGGAAAACCCAGAUCCAGUGCCACUUGCGUUAUUAACUGCUGGGCUAGCGGAUCCGACUGGUGAACAAGAACAAAUUUUACUCUGGUUGCGGGCAGAAUGUUGGGCGUGUGGCCGGUAGCCGACCGGACUGCGGUGGCCGACGGCGUCGAGAUUCAUCCCCCACUGCUUCAGCACAUUGACUGACCGGGUCAACCGAGAGGCCCCUGGGUGGACGAAGAGGUUGCGUCUAGGAACUGCACCCUAGAUAGGAGACCGUGUCCUUCUCUGAUGAGUGCAUUGGAGCAAACAAUAAGAAAAUAUGCCGAAGAACCUACAAGAAGUGUUAUCAAGCCUGAACCUGGCCUCACCUUCGACUCACUUGGUGAGGCGUACGGCUUCUACAAUCUUUAUUCAUGGGACUGGAUUUGGGAUCCGGUACGGCAAAAGAAGACUAAAUGCUGAAAGGACAAAGUGCUCGCGAACAGUGAAAGCCGAGUGCUCUCAAACAGUGAAAGCCGAGUGAAGAAUUUGAUGUGGACAAAUGGAAGCAAUAGGAUGCAAUACCAGUUCUUGGGUGAUGUGGUAUCAUUUGACACAACAUACAAAACCAACUUAUAUGACUUGCCUUUUGGUUUGUUCGUCGGAGUAAACAAUCACUUCCAAAGCAUUAUCGUUGCUGGUGUGGUGAUGAGUAGGUUGAGAAUUUUGACUGGGUUUUUGCUAAAGAAGGCGAAGGAAAGCUUGGGACCACUGUAGACGAAGAAGAGUUACUUUCAGGCGGAGUUCCAUAAAGUUGUGAAUCACAUGCUGAAAAAAGGAUGAGUUCGGGACAGCAUGGGGCAUGUUGCUUGAUAAGUACAACUUGACAUGCAUCCUUAUAUGACUCAGAUAUAUGAAAUACGUUCGAAAUGGGCGAAGCCAUACUUCAAAGGGGUGUUCUGUGCCAAGAUGACAAGCACACAACGGAGUGAGAGUGCGAACCACGUGUUGAAGUCUUACAUGCCGCCCGCAAGCCCGAUGCACAUAUUUGUGAGGCGGUACAUGCGACUCCAGUAUGAUCGUGAGCGUGAAGAAAUCUAUGAAGAGAAGCGGACAAUGAUAGGUGGACUAGUUAGGAGGACAAACUUGGCAAUAGAGCGAUAUGUAAGCAAAAUAUAUACAACUUGUCCUAUCGAUACUAACUGAUGGUCCAAAGUUUGUAAAUCUUCUUCUCCUAUUGCCCAGUGUGCUGGUCUGCUUGUUGAUAGUCAGCUUUGUGAUUUAUCUAACUGAAGACCCAAAGCUUGUAUGUUAUUUUAACUAUGCAGUUAAAAUGAUAAUUAGGUUGUACAAGAAAACAGGGCAAUCUGCAGCAUGUUACAUGUUCAGACUGAGGCAAACUUAUAUACUAGACAUUUAUGUGUGUGAUAGAUAUGCAUACUGUCUAAAAUUAUGAAUUAUUUUUGGUCA